rnacentral:rRNA from 1 species
CGUAGGUGGCAAGCGUUAUCCGGAAUUACUGGGCGUAAAGGGUGUGCAGGCGGGGUGGCAAGUGGUGUAUGAAAUAUCCCAGCUUAACUGGGAGGGGUUAUGCCAGACUGCUACUCUAGAGGACGAGAGAGGGGCGUGGAAUUCCGGGUGUAGUGGUGAAAUGCGUAGAGAUCCGGAGGAACCCCAGAGGCGAAGGCGACGCCCUGGCUCGUACCUGACGCUCAGCCACGAAAGCAUGGGGAGCGAACGGGAUUAGAAACCCCGGUAGUCCAUGCCGUAAACGAUGCAAACUAGGCGCUGACGGUCUCAACCCCGCCGGUGCCGGAGCUAACGCGAUAAGUUUGCCGCCUGGGGAGUACGGUCGCAAGGCUA